AGUUAGCUGUUGGUUGAAGGACUAGGAGACCUCAAAGAACUUCCAAAAGGAAAAGGUCAGAAAAGAGGAGGUGCCAUGGGAGACACUAACGAUGGUGAACACCUGCUUUGGGAGAAAUCCUGUUGAUCUUUCAUGGACCAUGCUAGUCGCUUCUUCCCGUGUGUGCCAAACAGCGAUGGGGAAACAAUGGGAGGUGCCCUGUGCUGACAGUUAACUCAGUGUCCUGUCCCCUCCUCCUCUACCUCCCUCCGAAGGAUGCUCUGUGUGAGAGGCCCGGCUCAGCCCCCAUUUGGGACAUCACUCCCAUGAAGGCAGACCUUUCCCUGCGUGGUUCUUUUCUGGCACACACCCGGAGUAUCCGUUGUCUUGUGCCACCAUGGAGCCCUCCAAGUUCUGCACUCAGGAAGUCGAGACAGGUGAAGCUCUGCGAAUGGGAGGCAGAGACAGGUGGAUCUCUGUGAGUUCAAGACCACCUGACCUACAUAUUGAGACCCUAUUUCCAAACAAACAACAACAAAAAUAGUACAUGUUAGGGAAAAAAAAACAAGAUACUUUAAAAACAUUAUUUCUAAUUCUCCCUCCCUCUAGUCCUCUCCCUUCUUUCCUCUCCUCCCCUCUCUUCCUCUCUCUCCCUCCUUUCUUCUAUCACUAUUUUUAUAGUUUAAGCAAGUAUCUAGAGAAAUAAACUACAUCCACCCAACUUAGAUAAAGAACUAGAUCUAAAGGGAAUUAGAAUCUUUGUCGUUUUUUUGUUCCUUGUUUGUUUGCGGUUCCUGGGGUCUGAAGAUGGGUUUCACAAAUGCUAGACAAGUGUUCCACUCCUGAGCUGGGCCCCAGCCCAGUCAACGUAUUCAAGUGUAUUCUCUGUU